AGAGUUUGAUCAUGGCUCAGGGAUGAAUGCUGGCGGCGUGCCUAAUACAUGCAAGUCGAGCGGUAAGGCCCUUCGGGGUACACGAGCGGCGGACGGCUGAGUAACGCGUGGGAACAUGCCCAAAGUGAGGGAUAACGCACCGAAAGGUGUGCUAAUACCGCAUAUGGUCUUCGGAUUAAAGGAUUUAUCCGCUUUGGGAGUGGCCCGCGUACGAUUAGAUUGUUGGUGAGGUAACGGCUCACCAAGUCGACGAUCGUUAACUGGUCUGAGAGGAUGAUCAGUCAGACUGGAACUGAGACACGGUCCAGACUCCUACGGGAGGCAGCAGUAAGGAAUCUUCCACAAUGGGCGAAAGCCUGAUGGAGCAACGCCGCGUGCAGGAUGAAGGCCCUCGGGUCGUAAACUGCUUUUAUGAGUGAAGAAUAUGACGGUAACUCAUGAAUAAGCACCGGCUAACUACGUG
rnacentral:rRNA from 1 species